rnacentral:rRNA from 1 species
AUUGAACGCUGGCGGCAGGCCUAACACAUGCAAGUCGAACGAGUGGCGGACGGGUGAGUAAUGUCUGGGAAACUGCCUGAUGGAGGGGGAUAACUACUGGAAACGGUAGCUAAUACCGCAUACCAUCGGGUGUGCCCAGAUUGGAUUAGCUAGUAGGUGGGGUAAAGGCUCACCUAGGCGACGAUCCCUAGCUGGUCUGAGAGGAUGACGAGCCACACGUGAAAUGGGACACGGUGCAGACUCCGACGGGAGGCAGCAGGGGGGAAUAUUGCACAAUGGGCGCAAGCCUGAUGCAGCCAUGGCGCGUGUAUGAAGAAGGCCUUCGGGUUGUAAAGUACUUUCAGCGGGGAGGCGGUACCCGAAGAAGAAGCACCGGCUAACUCCGUGCCAGCAGCCGCGGUAAUUC